GAAAGCCGCACCCUGGUGGCCCGGCCCCGCGCCCAGACCUGGCGGCCGCUGGCACCUGACCCGCUGCAUGGGUCUCCAGGGAGCUCGCUGCCCACCCGGCGCUGCAGGCUCGGCUCCCUCGUACACUCUCUGGCAAGCCCAAGAAAGUCAGGGGCCUAUGUGAGCCAAAGAGGAGAGAAGGUGAUGCCUCAGCCCAGUGUUUCUGCCCCACCUCGCUUGUGGCCUUCGGAACUUGAUUUGCACCGCAGGAAAAUGGGCAAUGAAAACCCCUCCCUAACUGGCUUCUCAGUCCACUCUGACCAGCCCACUGCACAGCGCCCACCCUGCAGCUCCAGAUGAGGCCUCACUCUGUCACCCAGGUUGGGGUGGAGUGGCACAGUCACAGCUCACUAUAACCUCAAGCUCCUGGGCUCAAGUGAUCCUGCCACCUCAGCCUCCUAAGUAGCUGGAACUACAGAUGUGCACUGCCAUGCCAGGCUUGUCUAACAUUUUUAUGUGUUGCUUCAUCCAGUUUGCUAGAGUUUUUGGAGAUUUCUGUCUUCAUUCAUGAGGGAUAAUAGUCUGCACUUUUAUUUUCUUGUGAUACUUUUGUCUGAUUUGUUAUCUGGGUAAUACUGGCCUUGAAAAUGAAUUGAUGUUUUCCUGCUUCUCUGCUUUGCAAGUGUUUGUGAAGGAUUGGUUAUUCAUUAAGUGUUUAAUAGAAUUCACUAGUGAAGCUAUGUGAGCCAGGGCUAGACUGAUGAAGAGUUUUCAUUAGUCUAAUCUGUUUACUUGCUGUAUAAGUACGCAUAUAUUCUCUUUCUUCUUGAUUUAAUUUUACACUUUGUGUAUAGCAGGGAAUCUGUGUCUAAUUUGUAGUAUUUCAUGCUUCUAGGUUUUCAUGGCAGUUGAGAUGUAAGAAUAACAAUAAUGUUGGGAGAAGGAAGUUGUGGACAAUCCAUGAAUAUCCCAACAUCUGUUGUAGGAAGGUUAAGAUUACUUUUUUUUUUUUUGCUGUACUGAACUGAAUACUCUUAUUUAUAAUGUCAGACAAAUGUAAUGUUGUAUAUAAAUAGAACUAGGAAAAUGUGCCAUUUGUCUUAGUAUUUAAUCAAGAUGGAAGUCUGGGCCUACCUCCUCUCUUUUAUUAAUAUGUAGACAGGACACCAACACAAAUUAGAAUUAAGACAAACAAAAUGUUAGCAAAUGAAGAAUGGUAUCAAUUGGUUAAAAUGUGAUGAAAUAGAGUGGUGAAUAUUUACAUAGAAUCCAUGAUGUGUUAGGUGCUAUUUCAAGCUAUUUGCACAUAUAGUUUUAAUACCAAUGACGUUAAAAUGUAUAACACAAAGAUUCAUAUAAAUAAAAAUUACAACAUUGUAAAUAAUAUUAGGUGACACUAAAACUGUCAUAGAAAUACACAUUUAUAUAAAACAUAAAGUAACAUGAAGUAUUAAAUUUUAGAAACUUUGAUUACUAAUCAGAUGAACAACUGAUUAGCCUUUUUAUCCAGUAAAAAAGGCAUACAUAUUAUUUUCAAAUUCCAGAGACAAAUAUUUUAAAUAUUGAAGUUGAAGACCUAAAAAUGUGUCACUGACCUCAUGGAAGUAGAUAUUCACUAGGUG
rnacentral:lncRNA from 1 species